rnacentral:lncRNA from 1 species
GCCUCCUCAUCGCUGUCUUCCCCUUCAUAAGAGCCUGGCUCAAUAUUAACAACAUUCUCCCCACCUUGGGCAAGUUAUUCAUGUCUCCCAUUAUAUUUUAUUUCAAGCAAAUCCAUUUGUAAGAAAAUGUGUUUCUUAAAAAAAAGUCCUCUGCUCUUCACAGGAAACUUCAGAGUGCACCCUAUGCCUGCUAACCCUCCUGGCCCUGAGCAACCAGAGACACUGAAACGAGAAGCGACUCAGAGCCAGCUGAAUCUGGAGCGCUCUAAAAGCCGGAUGGGGACAUUUGUUGAUGCCGGACCGAUGGCUGAGGCCUCCGCAGAUGAGGGGACAUCCUCAGACAUGCCAGACAUCUUGUCCAGACGAAAGUUCAAGCAGACCCUCCCUGAUCCAGACCUCCCGUAAAUUGGUUUUAUAGCAGCCACACAGCACACAUCUCUCAUACACGCCUACUCAGAUUUGAGUUCACCCUCAAAUGGACUUCACAAGUUGGUGAAUCAGAUGUUUACUUACUUCAACAAUACAAUUCAAAAGCUACAUACUGUGCCUUCUCCUAACUAUCGAGAGGAAUACAUAUUUUCUUCCACAAUGUCUCAUUUUAUUAGCAAUUUUAUUCUUAUCCUAGAGAGGGAGAGGGAGAGGGAGAGGGGGAGGGGGAGGGGGAGGGGGAGGGGGAGAGAGAGAGAGAGGCAUAAGGCAAAGAGGCAUCAACCAAGGAUAAUCAAGUAGUGGAUAGUAACAUCUCAGCUCAUCGCACAAGAUAUACAAGAAUCCCAGUACACAGACUGAGAAGGCUGUUUUCUAAUGUUGAAUUGUAACUGACAUAGUGAAAAAUACAUACUGAUUUCAUUGUAUAUCCCACCAGGGGCAAGUCUGGUGUUUUUAGAAGGAAGUCAAGCUAUAUUAGAGCAAAUCCAGACAGAAACAAUUAUUUUAUCAGGCAACCUAAAUUAUAUAUUCGAUAAGAUUGACAGACGUAGCAAUAAAAAAAGGCAAAUUCAAGGAGCCUCCAAAGAGGCUGAACAUUUUCAUCUCUACAAAUAAUUUACAGGACACCUGAAAUAGUGAGUUUGGAUCAUUCUCCGGUAUCAUGCUUACUUAUACCAACAUAAAAUACACUUAGCAACAGUAUUGGGAGAAUGAAAAUAGUGCAUCUUCAAGACCCUAAAUGUAAAUCCGCAAAUGACAAAUGUUCAACCUUUACCAUUACAAAUGU